UGACGAACGCUGGCGGCGUGCCUAAUACAUGCAAGUCGAACGCUUCUUUUUCCACCGGAGCUUGCUCCACCGGAAAAAGAGGAGUGGCGAACGGGUGAGUAACACGUGGGUAACCUGCCCAUCAGAAGGGGAUAACACUUGGAAACAGGUGCUAAUACCGUAUAACAAUCGAAACCGCAUGGUUUUGAUUUGAAAGGCGCUUUCGGGUGUCGCUGAUGGAUGGACCCGCGGUGCAUUAGCUAGUUGGUGAGGUAACGGCUCACCAAGGCCACGAUGCAUAGCCGACCUGAGAGGGUGAUCGGCCACAUUGGGACUGAGACACGGCCCAAACUCCUACGGGAGGCAGCAGUAGGGAAUCUUCGGCAAUGGACGAAAGUCUGACCGAGCAACGCCGCGUGAGUGAAGAAGGUUUUCGGAUCGUAAAACUCCGUUGUUAGAGAAGAACAAGGAUGAGAGUAACUGUUCAUCCCUUGACGGUAUCUAACCAGAAAGCCACGGCUAACUACGUGCCAGCAGCCGCGGUAAUACGUAGGUGGCAAGCGUUGUCCGGAUUUAUUGGGCGUAAAGCGAGCGCAGGCGGUUUCUUAAGUCUGAUGUGAAAGCCCCCGGCUCAACCGGGGAGGGUCAUUGGAAACUGGGAGACUUGAGUGCAGAAGAGGAGAGUGGAAUUCCAUGUGUAGCGGUGAAAUGCGUAGAUAUAUGGAGGAACACCAGUGGCGAAGGCGGCUCUCUGGUCUGUAACUGACGCUGAGGCUCGAAAGCGUGGGGAGCAAACAGGAUUAGAUACCCUGGUAGUCCACGCCGUAAACGAUGAGUGCUAAGUGUUGGAGGGUUUCCGCCCUUCAGUGCUGCAGCUAACGCAUUAAGCACUCCGCCUGGGGAGUACGACCGCAAGGUUGAAACUCAAAGGAAUUGACGGGGGCCCGCACAAGCGGUGGAGCAUGUGGUAUAAUUCGAAGCAACGCGAAGAACCUUACCAGGUCUUGACAUCCUUUGACCACUCUAGAGAUAGAGCUUCCCCUUCGGGGGCAAAGUGACAGGUGGUGCAUGGUUGUCGUCAGCUCGUGUCGUGAGAUGUUGGGUUAAGUCCCGCAACGAGCGCAACCCUUAUUGUUAGUUGCCAUCAUUCAGUUGGGCACUCUAGCAAGACUGCCGGUGACAAACCGGAGGAAGGUGGGGAUGACGUCAAAUCAUCAUGCCCCUUAUGACCUGGGCUACGCACGUGCUACAAUGGGAAGUACAACGAGUCGCGAAGUCGCGAGGCUAAGCUAAUCUCUUAAAGCUUCUCUCAGUUCGGAUUGCAGGCUGCAACUCGCCUGCAUGAAGCCGGAAUCGCUAGUAAUCGCGGAUCAGCACGCCGCGGUGAAUACGUUCCCGGGCCUUGUACACACCGCCCGUCACACCACGAGAGUUUGUAACACCCGAAGUCGGUGAGGUAACCUUUUGGAGCCAGCCGCCUAAGGUGGGAU
rnacentral:rRNA from 1 species